CACUGCCCGACUUGUACUGCGCAGAUGCAACAUUUUACGACUCGCCUCACUCGGCAGAUUUGAAUUGCUCUUGCCAGGGUGCUCUGUGGUAAUCAGCCUUCCAUGGACCCAAACAGAUGCCUGUGAACCCAAACUCUGAGACACAACUGGAUAUCUUUUUCUUCUGCUUUUAAGAGUCCAAAUUCGAGAUGAUGUGCAGAUCAUCAUAGGUGUGCUAUUUCUAGAGUUAAGACUAGUGAGGCUCACAGUUUUAUAUAUAAUUUGUGCACGAUUCCUGUUUAUUGCAAUGGUGUUCUGCGUCUCUGACACCUGUUACAUCAGCAAAAACUGCCUGUGAUGCUGGAGAGAAGAAAUGUUCGCAAGAUAUCUUGGAAUGGAAUUGUAAUUGGACUGAUAUGGCCAAAUUAUUAUGUAUGUUGGGACAUGCACAGGGGGCUGAGUGGGCUUUGGCCUGGGACCCCCAGAGGUUUAUUACCUCCAGCAUCCUUGAUGGUUGCAAGUUUAACUUUCUCCCUGGCCAUUUGACUAUGACUAUAUUUAUUAAAAAGGAAAAAUCAUCUCCAUUUGCUUCUUAUUUACUUUUAUAAUGCCUAUAUAUUUUUUGUAGAGCAAUUUGAGCUACACUUGUAAGAAAAGAACUUCUUCUUCUUUAUCUUUCUGUUCUCUGCAUCUUGUUCUGUUAACUUGCAAGAAAAGAUGAUAUAGAAAUAUUAUUUCUAAACAAAUGUUAUGUUUCCCUGGGGCACAUAUAAA